CGAACGCUGGCGGCGCGCCUACCACAUGCAAGUCGAACGAGCGAGAGAGAGCUUGCUUUCUCGAGCGAGUGGCGAACGGGUGAGUAACGCGUGAGGAACCUGCCUCAAAGAGGGGGACAACAGUUGGAAACGACUGCUAAUACCGCAUAAGCCCACGACCGGGCAUCGGGUAGAGGGAAAAGGAGCAAUCCGCUUUGAGAUGGCCUCGCGUCCGAUUAGCUAGUUGGUGAGGUAACGGCCCACCAAGGCGCCGAUCGGUAGCCGGACUGAGAGGUUGAACGGCCAAAUUGGGACUGAGACACGGCCCAGACUCCUACGGGAGGCAGCAGUGGGGAAUAUUGCACAAUGGGGGAAACCCUGAUGCAGCGACGCCGGGGGGAGGAAGAAGGUCUUCGGAUUGUAAACUCCUGUUGUUGAGGAAGAUAAUGACGGCACUAAACAAGGAAGGGACGGCAAACUACGU
rnacentral:rRNA from 1 species